rnacentral:rRNA from 1 species
GCCAGACUCCUACGGGAGGCAGCAGUGGGGGAUAUUGCACAAUGGGGGGAACCCUGAUGCAGCGACGCCGCGUGAGCGAGGAAGUAUUUCGGUAUGUAAAGCUCUGUCAGCAGGGAAGAAGAAUGACGGUACCUGAAGAAGAAGCACCGGCUAAAUACGUGCCAGCAGCCGCGGUAAUACGUAUGGUGCAAGCGUUAUCCGGAUUUACUGGGUGUAAAGGGAGCGCAGGCGGUUCUGCAAGUCUGAUGUGAAAGCCCGGGGCUCAACCGCGGGACUGCAUUGGAAACUGCGGGACUGGAGUGUCGGAGGGGUAAGCGGAAUUCCUGGUGUAGCGGUGAAAUGCGUAGAUAUCAGGAGGAACACCGGUGGCGAAGGCGGCUUACUGGACGAUGACUGACGCUGAGGCUCGAAAGCGUGGGGAGCAAACAGGAUUAGAUACCCCUGUAAUC